GGAAAGGAAAAAAAGGGAAACGUUCCUGUUUGCAGUGUUUCUGAUACGAUUUAACCUGGACGCAGAUGUACGGUGGAUGGCAUUCUCACCCAUACCCAUGAGAUCUGGUUCAGGAGGCAUAAAGGAAAAGGCAGGACAAGCAGGUGAAUAUGUACAUCCAGACCUUCUUCCCAAGGCUCAGAGGUCUCAAGUAAAGACAAGGAAGGAGACCAAAGAUGAAUUUCAGUAACAAGAUAAGGAAGGGAAGAAGAGUAAAACACCUUUUGGAGCUCUUUUCAUUACUUGACUGCUAUAAGGAACAGUUCAGAGAGGUUGAGCAGAGGGAGAGGUUGAAAAUGGACAUGAAGGAAAUGACCAAUAGAGCAAAGUCCCAGGGAAGGAGGAAGCUGCCAUCAUCUAAGAGGAGGAAUGCUGUGAAUGGAGCAGACUUUGGGAAGAUGAAGUAUUCAGAUAUGGGUAUGUUUCAUUUGAACGGUCCACCAAGAAUCUAAAUGGAGAUUUCAUAUAGUCAGUUGAUUUCACAAUUCUGGAAUUCAUGUUUUUCAUCCAUU